GAAAUGCGAUACGUAUUGUGAAUUGCAGAUUUUAGUGAAUCAUCGAAUCUUUGAACGCACAUUGCACCUGGUGGUAUUCCGCCAGGUAUGCCUGUUUGAGCGUCAUUUCUCUCUCACUUCCAAGUGGUUUUGCUGUAAAUAAUCAUUUUUUUUUUUCAUUGAAAAAAAUGUGCAGUGAAAAGAAAUGGCAAGACUUUUUAAUCUUCAAGAAAUGUUUUAGGUUCUACCAACUACAUUUUAAAAAGAUUUUUAAAUUCAAGUCGGCUUGAUAAUAAAAAUUUUCAAUGUUGACCUCAAAUCAGGUAAGACUACCCGCUGAACUUAA
rnacentral:misc_RNA from 1 species